rnacentral:ncRNA from 2 species
UAUUUCGUGGUUCGAAACCAUCCCACGUAAAAAAAACUAAGGAGAU